AGUGAAUAGAUACCCUGGUAGUCCUAGCCGUAAACGAUACUCGCUAGGUGUCGGCCACGGUGCGACCGUUGUCGGUGCCGUAGGGAAAGCCGUGAAGCGAGCCACCUGGGAAGUACGGCCGCAAGGCUGAAACUUAAAGGAAUUGGCGGGGGAGCACCACAACGGGUGGAGCUUGCGGUUUAAAUUGGAUUCAACGCCGGAAAUCUUACCGGGACCGACAGCAAUAUGAAGGCCAGGCUGAAGACUUUGCCGGAUUAGCUGAGAGGUGGUGCAUGGCCGUCGUCAGUUCGUACUGUGAAGCAUCCUGUUAAGUCAGGCAACGAGCGAGACCCACGCCCACAGUUGCCAGCGUACUCUCCGGAGUGACGGGUACACUGUGGGGACCGCCGCUGCUAAAGCGGAGGAAGGAAUGGGCAACGGUAGGUCAGUAUGCCCCGAAUAUCCCGGGCUACACGCGAGCUACAAUGGUUGGUACAAUGGGUAUCUACCCCGAGAGGGGAUGGAAAUCUCCUAAAGCCAAUCUUAGUUCGGAUUGAGGGCUGCAACUCG
rnacentral:rRNA from 1 species